rnacentral:rRNA from 1 species
UCUUCGGCAUUGGACGAAAGUCUGAUCGCAGCAUGCCGCGUGAGUGAAGAAGGCCUUCGGAUCUGUAAAACUCUGUUGUUAGAGACAACAAGUGAGAGAGUAACUGUUCUCACCUUGACGGUAUCGAACCAGAAAGCACCGGCUAACUACGUGCCAGCAGCCGCGG